UGCAGAUAUUAGCACGGGACUGUUUUCGGCGCUACACCAGAGAACUCCAGCCGUAAGUUAGGAGCUUUUUACACACAGCUGAGCCUAAUAAUAAACUAACUGCGCUUACUGAGGAAAGCUGAGAGUCUCACAGCAUAAAAUCACUAAAACAGGUCAGUGAUACUCCAGAACCAGCUGUAACACGUUUUAACAUUUACCCUCUUGAUUAUGCAGUGGAAUAAAUUGGUGUUUCUGGUUCAUUGUCGCCUCAGUGAGAGCAGGUAGUUAGUUGAUUAGUUGAUUAGUUAGUUGUUAGUUGAUGAUUUGGGUCAGGUGUUGUAAUUAGUAUAAACUAAUGACCGUGAUUAAAUAGUAAACCCUUUGGGGGAAGCGUUGCUAAACUGAGAACCACUUUCUUUUAGUAUCUGCCUUUUAAAGCUCUAACACAGACUACACUGCUCAACAUCACACUGCUCAACAUUACUGAAAGAGUUUUCACCUGUUUAAAUGCUUUAAUGAGCCUCUGUGAAGAAGCAUAAUAAUCCAAAACGCUUUCUAAUGGGAGUUCACUGGUGUUGUGCAGACUCCAGUCCGGGGUCUCUUCCAGCCGCUGUGCUGUGACGUCAGUUAAGCAUUAGCUUAAAGUUAGCAUUUUUCUGAUUACUUCCCUUAAACAAUCUCGAAAUUCAGAGGAUCCAGUGAUAUUUAGGAGGUAAAUGUACACAGAAUAAAACGUACAGGGUUCUGAACAUAUUUAUUUACCACAGAAUGUGACAGAGGCCAGUUUUUGAAAAGCCCAUUCAAAUCCCGUAUUGACUUGGACGGCUUAGACACGGAACCCCAAAGGAGCCCCAAAUAUGGGCAUAAACAACAUGGCUCGGACUACAAAAUUACAACAGGACUUCAGUGGUCUAUGAGCACAACAAGUGGACAGUGGGAUUUUCCAAGACCACACGCUCUCCUCCGCGACCUUUCACCCCGUAUCUUUGUAUCCAUGGCAACAACACUGACCGGGAAGACAGGAAGCAGAGCCACAUCAUUAAAGCGGGAAAGAGGGAAAAAACGGUAAACAAGUUUCAAGGACUGCGGCGAACGACUGUAGUGCGGUGCUUCACUGUUUCCUAAUAAGCCCCUGUCAAUACCAUGACUACUUAAUGCACAAUUACACCAUCACACUCGACAGCCAGGGCAGCACCAGCCUCUGAGAGGAGGGAGGAGAGACACUACUGUGAAGAAUUCCUCACAAUACCUUCACUCAUAAACACCAGCAGAAGAACAGAGCACUAACAUAAGCCCUGAUCUCAUUUCAGUCCAGUCAAUAUCACAAUAAUUUUCCUUAACUGUGUUUCAUAUUAAUCAAACUUACACAAAUCCUAUUUUCCUACGCUAUCUUAAUCAUUUAUAUUUUAAUUUUUUAUUUCCUAUCAUGCAUGCAUGUGUCCAUCCUGUUACAGCAAGCUGUGUGAAAAUUGGGAUUUAAUGAAAACAUUCAUGUUUUGUUUAAAAGUUUGGACACACUUUAAAUUCAGUGGUUUAAAAA
rnacentral:lncRNA from 1 species